CCACACGUCAUUCCUCCUCCACUCCCUCCCCUCUCCACUCCCGCCGCCUGUCUCGCUUCCACUCCCUCCCACUUCCAGGCGGACCUCCCCUCCCCUCCCCUCCCGGCUCCCGCGAUGGCCGACGCGUACUGGAGGUACGCGGCCGCCGACCCGCGGCAGCAGCAGCAGCAGCCCCCCUCCGCCGCGGCAGGCGCGGGGGCGCACCCGGGCAUGGGCGGCGCCCCGCAGAUGGCCGCCGCCGGGGGCCAGCAGCCCAUGAAGCGCCCCCGCCCCACCGACUUCUCAGAUGGACCUGGUGCACCUGACAUGACCGGCUAUUAUCCUCGUGAUGAAGAAAGGGCAGGGUAUCGUGCUGCUAGAGAUACCGAGGCUCUUAAUGCGUCCUACGAACGUUUUCUGCGUACUGGGCAAAUUCAAUCCUAUGGUGCUGGACCUGCUGGAGAACCUAUUAGGCCUGCUGUUGGAGGCAAUGCUGGCUACCCUGUUGAUGAGCGUUCAAUGAUGGCUGCUAGGGGUAUGGAUAGCAGAAAUAUUGGUGGUUAUGGUGGUGGAAUGCCAGAGCCACCCCUUCCACCUGAUGCCUCAAACACCUUAUACAUUGAAGGCAUACCUACUGGCUGUACACGUCGAGAAGUUUCACAUAUCUUCCGACCGUUUGUUGGCUUCCGUGAAGUUAGGCUUGUAAACAAAGAACCGAAACAUCCUGGUGGUGACCCUAUUGUCCUCUGUUUUGUUGAUUUUGCUGAAGCUACUCAAGCUGCUAUUGCCAUGGAUGCUUUGCAAGGCUAUAAGUUUGAUGAGCAUGAUCGCAAUUCAUCCAACCUGCGUCUGCAGUUUGCUCGUUUUACGGGUCCAAGGGGGAAUUCAGGACCUGGUGGACCUCGUGGUAGGCGAUAAGUUUAUGGCGUUCAAAUUGCCAGUGUAGGCAGCAUCUUGUUCUCGGUGGCGUUUGUGGAGAACGACUUGUGCUGAUGCUGUCCCUGUAUGCCAAAUAAUUUGGCCUGAUGGACGAGUUGUAUUGUGCUCCCUCAAUCCCAAUGCAGCCCCGGACAAUGGUGACUGCAAUCUCACUUUCUAACAGUGAGAUCAAGUUAAUGGAAGGAAGGGACAGCACAAUUCAGGACUCAGAUCCUAAGGCGUUCCAGUCAACUGAAAACAUGCUGCAUCAGAAUACCAUCUACCAAGAGCAGUUGAGCAGGAGCAAUUUACACCUCUUUUUUCUGACAACAACAAAAAUCCAGAUGAAAACCAUAGUAUUUGAUUCCAUUUCCUUCUGACUCGGAACAGAGAUUACAAGUUGCAAAUAUCUAAACAAAUAUGGCGAAAGAAUUGCAUGUAAUAAUAUGGUGUAUUGUAACUGGAGACAUCCA